rnacentral:misc_RNA from 1 species
AAGUCGUAACAAGGUUUCCGUAGGUGAACCUGCGGAAGGAUCAUUAACACGUAUCCAACGUUAAACCCCCUGUGAACCUUCAUUGUACGAGUUACAUCCACGUCAUAAACCGGCAAUCUCUGGUAAAUCAUAGUGAACAGCUUUGAUUCAGAGACCUCUGAAUAUCCUUGGGUGGUCGCGGUUGGUAAGGCAAGUGACCCGGUACCCUCAAGACCAGUGUUCAAUGAUCUGUCAGUGUUCAUUGACUGGAAUCAAACGUUCUGUCAGUGUGCGUUUGAUUUGCAAGGGUGGCGCAGUAAACGAUCGCUGGAGGCCGACACGGCCGGCGACUGGGUCAGCGAGCUUUGCUCCCACUGUUACUACUUACAAGAUUUCCCAAUUAGUGAAAGCUAUUGGGCUAUAACUAAACGACUGUUAACAAUGGAUAUCUCGAUUCUC